rnacentral:rRNA from 1 species
AGAGUUUGAUCAUGGCUCAGAGCGAACGCUGGCGGCAGGCUUAACACAUGCAAGUCGAGCGGGCGUAGCAAUACGUCAGCGGCAGACGGGUGAGUAACGCGUGGGAACAUACCUUUUGGUUCGGAACAACACAGGGAAACUUGUGCUAAUACCGGAUAAGCCCUUACGGGGAAAGAUUUAUCGCCGAAAGAUUGGCCCGCGUCUGAUUAGCUAGUUGGUGAGGUAACGGCUCACCAAGGCGACGAUCAGUAGCUGGUCUGAGAGGAUGAUCAGCCACAUUGGGACUGAGACACGGCCCAAACUCCUACGGGAGGCAGCAGUGGGGAAUAUUGGACAAUGGGCGCAAGCCUGAUCCAGCCAUGCCGCGUGAGUGAUGAAGGCCCUAGGGUUGUAAAGCUCUUUUGUGCGGGAAGAUAAUGACGGUACCGCAAGAAUAAGCCCCGGCUAACUUCGUGCCAGCAGCCGCGGUAAUACGAAGGGGGCUAGCGUUGCUCGGAAUCACUGGGCGUAAAGGGUGCGUAGGCGGGCCUUUAAGUCAGGGGUGAAAUCCUGGAGCUCAACUCCAGAACUGCCUUUGAUACUGAGGAUCUUGAGUUCGGGAGAGGUGAGUGGAACUGCGAGUGUAGAGGUGAAAUUCGUAGAUAUUCGCAAGAACACCAGUGGCGAAGGCGGCUCACUGGCCCGAUACUGACGCUGAGGCACGAAAGCGUGGGGAGCAAACAGGAUUAGAUACCCUAGUAGUCC